rnacentral:hammerhead_ribozyme from 1 species
AUCCAGCCGACGAGUCCUAAGUAGAAUGAAACGCCCGUCCUGGAU